UGCUAAGUGAUCACAUACUGAUGAAGGUGCCCACAGUGUUUCAGUUCUGGUUUGUGUGUGGCCAUAUCAUCAUUAAAGAUAUGGGUGGCCUGGAGGAAGCAGCCCCUUAUGAUUUAUGCACUGGUCCAAAGAAUGUGGUGCCAUUUUCCUGACUGCAGCAUUGAGAACAAGCUAUUGUUUGGGUGGCUUGGAUCCUCAGUAAUUCCUCAAGGAGCAGCUGAAGACACACCUUUUCCACAAGCACUUAAUCACCCCACACCCUUAAACCAAUGAACAAAAAUUUGUAUACUCAGUUGACCAUCUGCACGUCUCUGCCGUCCUGAAUUGUUCUGCUCCCAUGCCAAGCGGUAAUACUACCUGAUGGGAUGCUUUAAAUAGUGCUUGUGUAGAAAGGGGGUCCUCAUAAACUUCUGCUUCUGAAGUCACGCUGCUGUCCCACCCUGGCUGAGCUGUUGUAAUACCCAUCAUGCUGAGGCAGAGGUCUUUAGUGCUGUACGAUGAGCGUUUCUUUCUAUGCAGCCCAGAUGUGCUGUUGACUCCUGCAGGAGAAUGAUGGAAGAGAGAGGUUGAGAUUCUUUGAUUUCCUUCUUGCAUAUUCAUGGAUGGGUUUCAGACACUUCAAUUAUUCAGCUGGAUGGAUUUUCUUAAGGAACCGUCCAAUGAACUGCCCACCUUGAACUGUGAGUGAUGCAUGGGAUUUAAUGCCAUUUCAGUAGCGG
ensembl:lncRNA